AUGGAAAGGUGCAUUAUGGCCUCUAGAAAGGAAGGUUAAUGCCUUAAAAUCCUUCACCGAUUUCUCUGCGUUGAAGAUAGAUAUAACUGUUUCCUGAUCUUGAAAGAUUGUGCCGCUGAAUGAAAUGACAAGAGUUAUCAAUGCUUUCGACGUCCAAUAGCACCAUUCAAGAAACCAGAAUUCGAACACGAAACUGCGUGACUGAACAUGAUUACCAAGGUAAAAUAAUGUACCAAAAAGCGAGUGUUUCCAUGAAUAAUAUGCUUUCGCGAGGCCGAGCUUGGUUUCUUUUUCGAGUUGAAAGGGUACACUCAUACUCACGUUCAAACUUUAAACCUGUGAAGCCUAAUUAAAAUUGGAGAUCAAGUUCUUCCAUUUGACGCAACGAAGUAACCUUGGUCUCCAAUAGUAGUUUUCAACAGUCACACUCUCUUCAUUAUUCUCUAAGACCUGAGGGCAUGUAUUGGCACGCUACCUUCUGGUACUCGUGAACAUGUACGCCA
rnacentral:lncRNA from 1 species